GGAUAUAGCUCUGUGGUAGAGCUCUUGCCUAGCAUGAAUGAGGUCCUGGGUUCCAUCCUCAGUACUG
rnacentral:tRNA from 1 species